rnacentral:rRNA from 1 species
UACGGAGGGUGCGAGCGUUAAUCGGAAUUACUGGGCGUAAAGCGCGCGUAGGCGGAUAGGUCAGUCAGAUGUGAAAGCCCUGGGCUCAACCUAGGACGUGCACCUGAUACUGCUUAUCUAGAGUAAGGUAGAGGGUAGUAGAAUUUCCUGUGUAGCGGUGAAAUGCGUAGAUAUAGGAAGGAAUACCGGUGGCGAAGGCGGCUACCUGGACUAUUACUGACGCUGAGGUGCGAAAGCGUGGGGAUCAAACAGG